AACGAACGCUGGCGGCAGGCUUAACACAUGCAAGUCGAACGGGCGUAGCAAUACGUCAGUGGCAGACGGGUGAGUAACACGUGGGAAUAUCCCUCUCAGUUCGGAAUAACUCAGGGAAACUUGAGCUAAUACCGGCUACGUCCUUCGGGAGCAAGAUUUCUCGCUGAGAGAUUAGCCCGCGUCAGAAUAGCUCGUUGGUGAGGUAAUGGCUCACCAAGGCGACGAUCAGUAGCUGGUCUGGGAAGAUGAUCAGCCACACUGGGACUGAGACACGGCCCAGUCUCCUACGGGAGGCAGCAGUGGGGAAUAUUUGACAAUGGGGGCAACCCUGAUCCAGCCAUGCCGCGUGAGUGAUGAAGGCCUUAGGGUUGUAAAGCUCUUUUGCCAGGGAAGAUAAUGACUGUACCUGGAGAAUAAGCCCCGGCUAACUUCGUGCCAGCCGCCGCCGUAA
rnacentral:rRNA from 1 species